GUAUAAACUUAAAACUAAAACGUUUAAUUACCAAAUUCCAAACACAAUUGAUCACCACCAAGACAAUCUUUGCCAGAAACUAUGGGACAGCUGCUGUAAUUUCAUAUAUUUUGAAAGGAAUAGCGCCCCCCGUUCCCCCAGUUCAAUGUUGGGCCAACAAAAAUCCGAUGUCUGGAUGCGCGGCGCCAACAUUGAAACGGGUGGGGGGAGGGAGGGGGGAAAAUAUGUAUCAGCAAAUGGUAUAAUUAUUACAACCGAAUGCAUGUGAAAACUAGAUUGUCCCAAUCUAUAUUGUCAAAGAUUGUAGGUCUAGGCUGUUCAAAGUGAGGUUGGCCAUAUAAAAUUACUUCUAAGAAUUAAAAUAAAGCUACUGAGUAACAAUCAAAAGCAGUUUAAAAUGUUUUUAUUCAAUUCGAAAUUUGAAAUAGCAACCAAAAACGAGUUUCGUGUUCAUAAUGAUCACUGGCUGUCAAGAUAAGAAACUAGCGUGACCCCGUCCUCAAUAAUCCAAGACAGCGGACAGUUCAUUGCUUUCAGUCAAAAUAUUUCAAGAAUCAAGCAAGAUAUGAAACAUCAGUAACAAGAUUUUAGAAAAUUUUAAACGUUCUUUCGAAUGAGACAAUAACAUUUUUUGUUGCCAUUCUCCUUUUUAUCCUGACCUAUAUACUUGUCUCUUCUGUAAACAGAAUAUAGAAAAGUGCAUUUAUAUCGGACUAUUUUUGUAAUUUGUAAGGGACCGGUCAUAAAGUAACUGCUAGGGUGGGCUGGAGUGAUUUGGGAUGGGCCAUGGAAAAUCUUUCGACAGUUUCGAUGGGCCGCCAAAUAUUUUGUAUGUCCACGGUUGGGCAACCAAACAAAAACCCAUGCAUGUCUAUACUUCCAAAAAUAAAGAUAUUAAUAAUAAAAGUAAACAAAACUAUCCGAAUUAUCAAAUGUAAAUGAUGCUAUUGAAUCCAGUACUUUACAGCAAAUACAACCAACUGGAGAACAGCUCAGUAUCGUAAUUGGUGAAUUUUGAAAGUAAUAUAUGAACAACGAGAGCGAGUGUUUCACCGGGAUAUCCAAACACGAGAAAACAAUGUAUGAGAACACGAGCGCGAAGCGCGAGUGUUUUCAUACAUUGUUCAGUUUCGAGUGUUUGGAUAUCCCGGUGAGACACGAGCUUCUCAAAUGAAUAUAUGGCUUCUCAAAUGAUCGAGACGUAACAGAAUGUUUUCGUUUGCUGAUUUGAAUAGAAUUCUUAACCAAGCAUAACGUAAUUAGGAAUUCUAUUCAAGUAAUUUUGCAUGCGUAAUUAAGAUAUUUGAUGAAAACACUAGUGACUUUCAUCCAGUAUCCAAAUGGCAUCUUGUGAUCAAAUAGGUGAUUAUCAUUGGCUGAAUUACUCAUGAAUUAUUAACGAAUUUGAGAAAUGUUGGUCAAGCUUGGUGGAAUUACGUAUGCCAAUACAGUGCCGGUGUAUAUUUACAAUGUUCAUACCUGCAAGUUUGUUUUUUUAUUAUAAGAGUGUAUUUUCCCAAUUUAGAUUGGGUGGGUCAUGAAAAUUUUUUUGUAAGAUUAGAUGGGCUUUGAAAUUUUUAUCUACAUCCUAAGAUGGGUCACCGAACUUAUUGGCAAAAUUUCUGAUUUACCUCCAGCCCACCCUAGCAGUUACUUUAUGACCAGUCCCUAAUGGGUCACCGUUCGAAAACUAAUUGUUCUUCGAGCAACCCUUUUACGUUUUUAAAUCAAAUUGCAAUUCAAUAGAAUUGGUCGAAAAGUUCAAUAGUUGAUAUACAUGCACCAAUUCUUCCAGUCUCAAAUAUAUACGGAUUCAGUCGCAAUUUUACGCUGUCAAGGUCGAAGAAAACGUUAGUUCGAAGCUAUACGCUUUGUAUGUACGUACCGAACGAUUUCAUUUUUUAUCAUGGACAAAAAUUGAUAAGAUUUUUAACGUUUGUGUUUUAUACUACAGGAUAAUAGAUAGCUUAAGAUCUACGACGUCGACGUCAGCUAGGACGUCAGGGAUAUGCAGAGGACUGGGACUACAUUAGGACGACAUCCUAUUCCCAGUCCUCUGCAUAGCCCUGACGUCCUAGCUGACGUCAACGUCGUAGAUCUUAAGCUAUCUAAUAUUUGCUGAAAAAUAUUAAAUCCGUAUUUGCUGUUCCCAUGGCGAUCAAGAAACGCCCCUUAAGGUAACUUAAGAAAGAAUAUUAAUGAUUUCAUUAUUAAUUAAAUGGAG